GGGGAUUUAGCUCAGCGGCAUAGCGCCUGCCUUGCAAGCAGGCAGUUGUGAUCCCUG
rnacentral:tRNA from 1 species